rnacentral:rRNA from 1 species
GAUGAACGCUGGCGGCGUGCCUAAUACAUGCAAGUCGAGCGAACAGACGAGGAGCUUGCUCCUCUGACGUUAGCGGCGGACGGGUGAGUAACACGUGGAUAACCUACCUAUAAGACUGGGAUAACUUCGGGAAACCGGAGCUAAUACCGGAUAAUAUAUUGAACCGCAUGGUUCAAUAGUGAAAGACGGUUUUGCUGUCACUUAUAGAUGGACCCGCGCCGCAUUAGCUAGUUGGUAAGGUAACGGCUUACCAAGGCGACGAUGCGUAGCCGACCUGAGAGGGUGAUCGGCCACACUGGAACUGAGACACGGUCCAGACUCCUACGGGAGGCAGCAGUAGGGAAUCUUCCGCAAAGGGCGAAAGCUUGACGGAGCAACGCCGCGUGAGUGAUGAAGGUCUUCGGAUCGUAAAACUCUGUUAUUAGGGAAGAACAAAUGUGUAAGUAACUAUGCACGUCUUGACGGUACCUAAUCAGAAAGCCACGGCUAACUACGUG